rnacentral:rRNA from 1 species
UACCACUUACAGAUGGACCCGCGGCGCAUUAGCUAGUUGGUGAGGUAACGGCUCACCAAGGCAACGAUGCGUAGCCGACCUGAGAGGGUGAUCGGCCACACUGGGACUGAGACACGGCCCAGACUCGUACGGGAGGCAGCAGUAGGGAAUCUUCCGCAAUGGACGAAAGUCUGACGGAGCAACGCCGCGUGAGUGAUGAAGGUAUUCGGAUCGUAAAGCUCUGUUGUUAGGGAAGAACAAGUACCGUUCGAAUAGGGCGGUACCUUGACGGUACCUAACCAGAAAGCCACGGCUAACUACGUGCCAGCAGCCGCGGUAAUACGUAGGUGGCAAGCGUUGUCCGGAAUUAUUGGGCGUAAAGGGCUCGCAGGCGGUUUCUUAAGUCUGAUGUGAAAGCCCCCGGCUCAACCGGGGAGGGUCAUUGGAAACUGGGGAACUUGAGUGCAGAAGAGGAGAGUGGAAUUCCACGUGUAGCGGUGAAAUGCGUAGAGAUGUGGAGGAACACCAGUGGCGAAGGCGACUCUCUGGUCUGUAACUGACGCUGAGGAGCGAAAGCGUGGGGAGCGAACAGGAUUAGAUACCCUGGUAGUCCACGCCGUAAACGAUGAGUGCUAAGUGUUAGGGGGUUUCCGCCCCUUAGUGCUGCAGCUAACGCAUUAAGCACUCCGCCUGGGGAGUACGGUCGCAAGACUGAAACUCAAAGGAAUUGACGGGGGCCCGCACAAGCGGUGGAGCAUGUGGUUUAAUUCGAAGCAACGCGAAGAACCUUACCAGGUCUUGACAUCCUCUGACAAUCCUAGAGAUAGGACGUCCCCUUCGGGGGCAGAGUGACAGGUGGUGCAUGGUGUC